GCUUGUGCAGGUUGUUUUCCCUUAUUGCUUGCAUCAUUGUGCAAAUAUCAAAGAGAAAGUGAAGCUGGCAAGAACACAGAGGUCUUGGAAAGGCAGCCUUUCCCAGGCAGCUUCUACAGAUGCCAACAAAUGACAGCAUGAGAUUCAUUCUUCAGCUUUCUGGAUGCUGUGCAUGCAUUAUGCAACACACAAUUUUCAAACUGGUUAAACAAACCACAAAUGUGAUCGUGUCACUAAGUAAAUUGAGCAGAAGGACCACCAAUGUCCAGAGCAGCAACUACUUACCCAACCUGGGCAUAACUGCCCCCAAGAACUGUUCAUCUUCCUGAAAAUGGUUUUCUUGUAGAGAUUCAAGCAGUUUCUGUAAGACAUCCUGCGGCACUUUGCAGCCUGUGCCCUUCAGUUCAGUGAAUCGCGUCAGACGGAAG